CCUCUUCCUCCUCCUCCUCCUUUUCAUUUAUUAGUCUGAUGGUUUUGAUCACGAUAAAUUCAAUGCCCUUUCUUCCUCCUCCUCCUCCUCCUCCUCCUCUUAGUUCUCUUUCCUCCUCCAUCAAUCUUGUAUAUACACUCUCUCUCUCUCUCUCUCUCUCUCUCUCUCUCUCUCUCUCUCUCUCUCUUACAUUACACGCAAAGGUCAAAUAAUUCACGUGUGUGUGUGUGUGUGUGUGUGUGUGUGUGUGCAAGGCCAACCAAGCGACACCGUUACUUCCUCCUCCUCCUCCUCCUCCUAAGAAGAAGAGGAGGAGGAGGAAGAGGAGGAGCAGGAGGGUGAUGAAACAAAGCAAAUUCACACAUCAAACACACAUACAUACACACACACACACACACACACACAGACAGCCUUGACCGUAUUUCUCUAACCCAUUUCAAUCACACACACACACACACACACACACACACACACACACACACACACACACUCAAUAAUAUAAAACUUUGGAUAUUAUGUUUUUUUUCCCUUUUAAUUUCCUUUCCAAGAGUCAAGUCCUUCCUUCCUUCCCUCCCUCUUCUUCCCUUUCUUUAUUCCUUCCUUCUUUCCUAUCUUUCUUCCUCUCUAUGUGUCUCCCUUCUUCCCUUUCUUUAUCUCCCUUCUUUCUCUACCUGUCUUCCUCUCCCUUCCUUCCUUCCCUCCCUUCCUCUUUCUCCUUCAUAAGUUAUUAAUGUUGAUAUGAAUUCCUAAGUGAAUUUUAUGAUCACCAUCACCACCAUCAUCACCACCGCGUCUACUACAGUCAACUCCAUUAAAAGUUUUCAUCACCACUAUCAUCUCUAGUCAUCACCAUUUCUAGUUUUCAUCACCAAUUCAUCACCAAUACGAUUUUCAUCACCACCACCACCAUCAUCACCACCGCGUCAACAACAGUCAACACC